AAAGAGAGAAAGAAAAGGGAUAAGAAACCUUCCUCUUAACUUUGAGAUUAGAAGGAAGAGAGAGCCGCGCUAUUCCUCGGGGUCCUGCAUUUAGUGGUAAGCCAAUUCCCCCAGACAUCUUCCUGCUGACAGUGAAGAUGCCACUGCUACUCCUUCACUUGCUCAUUCUGCAAAAGUUUGUAGAUCUUCUGCAAGGAGAACGGCAUUGUUAACUACCUACAGGAAGUGGUUGCCGUAGAAUUGACAUGCUGUGACUUCCAUAACCCACUCACCAAAAGAUGUUGUGUGUUUCCACUCUCUCUCCUGGAAACCAGACAAGUGCCAGGAUAAUCAGAUAAGUCUGGUGGACUGGAGAAGAAGAGACCACAUAUAACAGAACUGAACCAUUCCAGCUGAAGGCAUCUUAGAUAAACUAGCCCUCAGGCAAUCUAGCAGUUGACCACAAUUGCAUGAGCGAACUCAGAGGAGAUCAGAAGAGCUUCUCAACAGAGCCCAGAGUAAAUCAUUGACUCAGAGAAUUGUGAGAUAACUUAAAGAUGCUGCUUAAUGCCCCGAAGUUGGAGUGUUUUGUUACACACCAAAAGUCAACUGAUACAUGGAGCUGUCUACUUGACUUUUUUAAAAUGAAAAUCUUCACACAUUUCAAGACUCCUAUCUGAUUCAGUUUUUUCAAUAAUGUCUGCUCUAGUAAUUUCAAUCUACAUUGAACAUAUUCAUUUAUUUAUUGGACAAACAUUUUGUAACUGUUCAUUAGGUUUUCUUUUUUACUUGCACUAUACUUUUGUCCUUUAUCACAUUAAAUACUGCCUACAUUAGAUUAUCUGUUAGCAUCUUACCAUAUAUUAGGCCAUUUUCUGUCUCAUAGCAAGUAGAAGGCUAAAAUCCACAUUUCCUAGACUUCUUUAUCAUCCCAUUCUAGCUUAACUUUUACAAGGUUAAAAGGUACUGGCAAGGUAUUUGGAAGGUCAAAAAAAAAAAAAAAGAAGAAGCCAUGAUUACUCUAGCAGUAGGUGGUGCUGGGCUUUGUCAGAAGAAGAUAUGAUAUUUUGUCAGUAGCUCAUGUUUGUUAUCCUAUAAAUUACUUACUUUGAUGCUCUUAGUAACUGAUAUGCUUAGCAAAAAUUGUUGGAGAUACUAGUACUUUCUGGUAUUAGCAUCUUCCCUGACCUUUUCUAAUCCUGUUCUUCCAAAGGUUUUAUAAGAGUAUAGUUCUCUGUAUUAAAUCAUUUUAUGUUGGAAAUAUUUAGAUUGAUUUCUAUUUCCCACAUUGAACUUUGAGAGGUUUUUUAAUAUACACUUAUGUGUAUAUUAUGUGUGUAAUAUACAUACAUGUGUAAUAUACACUUAUGUGUGUGUAUAUAUACACACACAAAAUUAUAUAUAUAAGGUAUAUAUAUAUUAACUAUAAAUGUUAAUAUAUAUAACAUAAUUAUAAACAUGAUUGACAAUAGAGUACAAAUUUAUUAACUAUAUAUAAAAAUUAUUUAGCACUAAUAAUGUUCAAGAAUUUAUAAGUAGUAAGAUUCAUCACUCUUUUUUUUAAUAUGGGUAAAUUGAGAUCCAGAGAAAUAAAUGACUUUUCCAAGUCAAUCAUGAGCUACUGUCAUCACUGAGAUUGCUAUGGUAAUUGAUUGGCAUAAUUGGACCUGCAGAUUUCUAGAAAAAACAUGGAGUUAGAUGUCUAUUUUAUAAGAGACCAGGCUCUCUAGGGGGAAAUGCAGGUGUGCUAGGGCUGGGGUGGAAAGUAAGGGACAGUAAGACUGGAAAUUUCAGGCCACCUAGCCUCAUUUUAAGAAGAGUAGCUCCAUUUUAAUCUACUGCCUAUACAGUCAUCACUUGGUAUCUUCUGCAGACUGUUUCCAGGACUCUGCAUAGAUACAAAAAUCUAAAGAGUCUCAAGUCUUUGGUAUAAAAUGGCAUCAUAUUUCCAUAUAACCUACAAACAUCCUCCUAUACACUUUAAAUUGUUCCUAGAUCAGUUAAAAUACCUAAUACAAGACCUACACAUCACUUCAUUCAUGUGGAUUCAAUGGAGUACUCAGUGCUUGGCAAAAUCAAGUUAUGCUUUUUGGAACUUCAUGAAUCUUUUUCUAAAUAUUUUUGAUCCGUGAUUGGUUGAACUCACAGAUGCAGAACUUAUGGUUAUGGAGGACUGACUUGUAUAUGCCUUUCUUUUAAUAUUUCAUUUAAAGAUAGAAUGGAUUAAAAUACCUUUCAAACUAUUGUAAUUAUUGGCAAUCCGUUGCUUGAGAAACAAAUUAGAUGUGAUUGACAAUAUAGAGUACGUUUUUAAAAAUUCUUAUUUCUUAAAACAAUUUAAAGUAUAAUUGAUGUACUAUAAGUUGUACAAACACAGUUUGUUGUGCAUAUGUACUUGUGAUCCCAUUGCCACAAUAAAGAUAAUAUACCUUUC
ensembl:lncRNA novel transcript